GUGAUUAAAUCGAGCGUGUCUUCAUUGACCGCUCACCCUUCUCACCAUCCACAUACACCUGUGCACUGUUUAGCCUGAGCCGGUUUUCCGGUCCAGGUUAUCAAUUCAUACAAACUCUAGUCUUAUGAAUGUAAACGUUUUAAUAACAUAAUA
rnacentral:misc_RNA from 1 species